rnacentral:rRNA from 1 species
GAUGAACGCUAGCUACAGGCUUAACACAUGCAAGUCGAGGGGAAACGAUAGAGAAAGCUUGCUUUUUCUAGGCGUCGACCGGCGCACGGGUGAGUAACGCGUAUCCAACCUGCCCAUCACUUGGGGAUAACCUUGCGAAAGUAAGACUAAUACCCAAUGACGUCUCUAGAAGACAUCUGAAAGAGAUUAAAGAUUUAUCGGUGAUGGAUGGGGAUGCGUCUGAUUAGCUUGUUGGCGGGGUAACGGCCCACCAAGGCGACGAUCAGUAGGGGUUCUGAGAGGAAGGUCCCCCACAUUGGAACUGAGACACGGUCCAAACUCCUACGGGAGGCAGCAGUGAGGAAUAUUGGUCAAUGGACGAGAGUCUGAACCAGCCAAGUAGCGUGCAGGAUGACGGCCCUAUGGGUUGUAAACUGCUUUUAUAAGGGAAUAAAGUGAGUCUCGUGAGACUUUUUGCAUGUACCUUAUGAAUAAGGACCGGCUAAUUCCGUGCCAGCAGCCG